CUUUUCAUUAACCACAUGUUCCAUUUCAAUUUCUUGAAAAAACCUGCUUAUCCAACCUAGAGUGGGUCAAGGUAAAAUGCUAGCUCUGUGGUAUGUAAAGAAGCCUUUUUCUUUUGCAGAUAUGAACUGAUAGUAGAUAAAAGCAGAGUUGGGAGUAAGAAUCCUACCAAAGGGAAAAUAGAACAGACACAAGCAAGUGAAAAGAAGUUUUACUUCGGUGGCUCACCAAUCAGUGCUCAGUAUGCUAAUUUCACUGGCUGCAUAAGUAAUGCCUACUUUACCAGGGUGGAUAGAGAUGUGGAGGUUGAAGAUUUCCAACGGUAUACUGAAAAGGUCCACACUUCUCUUUAUGAGUGUCCCAUUGAGUCUUCACCAUUGUUUCUCCUCCAUAAAAAAGGAAAAAAUUUAUCCAAGCCUAAAGCAAGUCAGAAUAAAAAGCGAGGGAAAAGUAAAGAUGCACCUUCAUGGGAUCCUGUUGCCCUGAAACUCCCAGAGCGGAAUACUCCAAGAAACUCUCAUUGCCACCUUUCCAACAGCCCUAGAGCAAUAGAGCACGCCUAUCAAUAUGGAGGAACAGCC
rnacentral:sRNA from 1 species